rnacentral:rRNA from 1 species
AUUGAACGCUGGCGGUAGGCCUAACACAUGCAAGUCGAGCGCGAAAGUGCCUUCGGGUGCGAGUAGAGCGGCGGACGGGUGCGUAACGCGUAGGAAUCUGCCUGGUAGUGGGGGGAUAACUCGGGGAAACUCGAGCUAAUACCGCAUACGCUCCAUGGGGGAAAGCGGGGGACCUUCGGGCCUCGCGCUAUCAGAUGAGCCUGCGUCGGAUUAGCUAGUUGGUAGGGUAAUGGCCUACCAAGGCGACGAUCCGUAGCUGGUCUGAGAGGAUGAUCAGCCACACUGGGACUGAGACACGGCCCAGACUCCUACGGGAGGCAGCAGUGGGGAAUAUUGGACAAUGGGGGGCAACCCUGAUCCAGCCAUACCGCGUGUGUGAAGAAGGCCUUAGGGUUGUAAAGCACUUUCAGUAGGG